AAACAAAACAAACUCAUGGUGGCAAAGGCAGAAAGACAGUUAUCCUACAGUAUUUUAUUCAGAAAUAAAGACUGAUAAAUGGAUGUUUUCCCUUUACUUGGUUCACCGGCAGUAACAACUCAAGGAAGAAAAAAAAAAUCCUGCUAUCACAGCAAGGAGAGAUAAUGAGACCAUGGGAAAUUGCAUAUUCCAAUUUUAAAAGAUCAUCUUUCCUUGUCUUUGUUUUACUUCCUCUUUGGGUUCCUGACCGGCUCUAAAAUGACAAGGGUAAGAGGCCCUUUGAGGCGCUUUAUAAACACGGACUCUGCAGCUUGCAUUUACCGCUUACUUUACCCCAGCCCCUAUUUAGGUGAAAGAAACUGAAAACCAAUUGUGCACCGCAAGCUUAUCUUAGAAGUGUGCACUGUAAGAGAAAAAGGAGAACUAAAGGUCCCACUAGAGGAAGUAACAAUGUAUCGACUUCACAAUAUUUUCUAUUUUUCUCCGUAUAGUUAAUUGACACUUGCAUUAUGAAGGUAUGUGUAACUGCUGAGUGUGGAAUGGUAAGGUGUGUUAGGUGUGGCAGCAUAUCCUGCAAUCCCAGCGUGUGGGAGGCUGAGGCAGGAAGAUUGUCAGCUGAAGAUCAGCCUGGCUUAAUUAGUGAGCUACUAGAGAGACAUGGGGUGGGGCUGGGGGGCAGCGAUUUUAGACCACUGUAAUCCAAGAGAGUACCCCAAUUUCUACAAUGAUAUUUGUGUAUAUAGUGCAGCUCAACCAGGACUAGACAUGUCCUAUUGUGGCCAGGAAAAAGGGAGAAAAAACAAAAAAAAAAAAAAAAAAAAACGGCAGAAGAGAAAGCCCAGGAAGGUUACAGAAAUAGUGCAAACAGAGCAACAAGUUGGAAAUGGGGAAAAAGCAGAGGCAGUUGGCUGAUAAGGGGUGGAGGAAGGGGAGCUGUUUACAGGACAAGAGAGGAAAGAUGCUGGAAACAAACUCGAGAAUUAACUGGAAAAGGGCUCGUCCCAGUCUUCAGACACUUUAGACUGUUGUGUUCUCUUAUCUAAGGGUUUCCUGUGUGUCAGGCACUAGAAAGGUACCAACUGCCAAAGGGUGAAACAGGAAAAGUUGGUGCAGCUGGGUGGAAGAAAGCUUGGGAGACCCAGGGCUAAUCAGCGUCCCUGUGACUCUCACAGACGUGCACAGCAUCUCAGCUUGCAUAGAGAUCUGCUAAGCUGCAGGGCACAGUCCUUACUGCAUCGCCAGCACCUUGUACAUGGCGGAAGUUCAGUGUUCACUGAAGGAGUGUGCACGCUUCCUGUUGCUGCGACAUACUUCAGGAAGUAAGGGUUUACUGUGGCUCACGGUUCGAGGGUAGGGGCUAUCGAGUGGUGGGAGGAGCAUGAGGCAGCUCCUCCCACGUCGCUUCUGCAGUUAGGAAGCAAAGAGGAGUGAUUUCCUGUCUCUCAGACCGUUUUCUCCUUUUUAUUCAAUCUGGGACCCGAGCCAAUUAAACAAGUACCACUCACUAAGGCUGGGUUCUCCUUCUUCAAGUUAAACCUUUCUGGAAAUAGCCUCAUAGACAUGCCCAGAGGCUGUGAGACUCUGGAGGGAUCCCAUCGGCAAGCAAGACGAUGCCCCAAACACAGAUGCCCCAAGGACCUCCAACACUCUACAAUCAUGAAUUAAAGAAACGUUAAUUCUCCAAAACUCAUCUAACCUCUAGUUGUCAUCUCUUCUUGUCGUCAAUAGCAGCAGAAAACACUAAUACACCAAGAGUAUCACAAUCUUCCACCAGAAUCCAACAUCUUACUGAGUUUAAAGACUGAUGAGCUCCCAGGGACAAAAUGGCCCACACUGAGCAGUGGUUCUCAGCCUUCCUAAUGCCGCAAUCCUUUAAUACAGUCCCUCAUGAGGUGGUGACCCCAGUCAUAAAGUUAUCUUGUUCCUAUUUCAUAACUGUAACUUUACUAUUUACUAGUGUAAUGUACACAUCUCACAGCGGGAUACCCAACAUUUGAUUACCAAUAGGUUGAGAACCUCCGACGUAGUAGUCUACAUUAUUACAUUAUAUUGAAGGGAAAUACUCUUCUUCUGUAUAAUUUCACACAGGAAGUACAAAAGGUUUAAUAACUUAAUCAUUUAGUGUGAGAUUCUGGGGAUGAAGCCCUCCUUUCUUUUUUUUUCACUUGAGAUCUUCUGACAGUGUCUCAAGGCUGCCUUCCCCUGCUCCAGGUCCAUUUGUUUAAUUGUCUUCCUUUGGAGUUUGUCCUCCGUGUUCAGGCUCAGUUGCUGGGAGAAAGGCACAGUCAAGUGAGGGUGUGCGAGACCGGGGUCCAAGGAUAGCCGGUCCUUAGCUGCUGAGAGUGAGAUGCCAAAGGUAAGGAGAGUUGGUUGGUUCUUUUGGAAGGUGUAGAAGAAGAGGCUGAAAGGCUUAGCAAGAGGGAAGCUUUCAGGAGCUUCGUGUGGGAAUUCUGUAACUUUUAUCAUCUGGACCUGUCGCUAUGGUGUCGUUUGAUGAUGAUGAUGAUGAUGAUGAUGAUGAUGAUGAUGAUGAUGAUGAAAUGAUGUUAAUGACGAUAUGACGUUGGUAAUGAGGUAAUGUUGAUGCAUGUGGCUUGCAAUGACAGCCUUUCAUCUGUAGACCCAGAGGUCAGCACAACCAUUAAUUAAUUUUGAAGAGGUGGUAGGAAAAUAUCAUUAUCUUCCAUUUACAGGGGAGAAAGAAGAAAUUAAGCCCUUUACCCAAGGCCACCUCAGAGCACUUGCCAGCAGGAAGGAACACAGAUCCUGCCUCCUUACCUUCUGUUGGUGGCUAUCCGGGCCUACCAGGUUAAACAUUAAAAUGGAAUGUAAAAAACAAACAAAAAAGGAGAGAAUAAGAGGCGAGGAGCCAACUCUGAGUCUGGGAAGUUUCCCAGCAAAGUUGCUAUGGAGAUAGGAGUUAUUCUGAGACUGCAAAUCUCUUGCUGAGACUUCUAGGAAUGUAA
rnacentral:sRNA from 1 species